rnacentral:sRNA from 1 species
UUCUCUGAGGCUUUUUCUCAGGAUGAAACGCGCAUUCCUCCGGGGCUCACUACCCAGCGCCUGCCUCAUCCCCUGCCACUCCCCUUGCCUCCUGCAGCCUGUACCACUGACCUCUCAGGCCUGGGCCUGCCCUUGCUGCCUCAGGGCCUCUGCACGGGCCCUUUCCCUCUCCAGGGCCCUCUCCUUAUCUGGUGAAGUCCUGCUCGCUCGUGCUCCCUCAGGAAAGCCUCAGUGGCCCCCAGGGAGGAGGGCAGGCUGCUUGAUGUCUCUCUGUGCAUCUUUAAUUCAUUGCCCUGCUCGUGGCUGAUGAUCCUGCACACUUGUGGGAUGGUCCAGUUGUGUCCCCCAUUCCCCUUCCUCUCAACUGCAAGACCCCAAGGGGUCAGGCUCACCUUUGUCUCUCCAGAACCCAGCACAGUGUGGGGACUUGGGCGAGCGUGGAGACUCUGCCCAGCAGAGGAAGGGGAGAGGUCCCGGCUGGAGCCCAGGCUCUGAGGGCAUUCCUGCCAGGGUCAUCUGGGUGGAAGACAGGGGGCCUCAAGCCCUGGGUGUCAGUGUCUGCAUGACUGCUGGGAUGGAUGCGAAGACACUGAGGUAGCUCCCCCCCAACCCCAGCUGUCUGACAGCAAAGAUGCUUUUAAAAAGACGUGGAACCCCAAGUUCACCCUGCGCUCGCACUAUGACGGCAUUCGUUCCCUGGCCUUCCACCACAGCCAGUCGGCUCUGCUCACCGCCUCCGAGGAUGGCACACUCAAGCUCUGGAACCUGCAGAAGGCGGUCACGGCCAAGAAGAAUGCGGCGCUAGAUGUGGAACCUAUCCAUGCUUUCCGGGCUCACAGGGGCCCAGUGUUGGCUGUGGCUAUGGGUAGCAACAGUGAAUACUGCUACAGUGGCGGGGCAGAUGCCUGCAUCCACAGUUGGAAGAUUCCAGACCUCAGCAUGGAUCCCUACGAUGGCUAUGACCCAAGUGUGCUGAGCCACGUCCUGGAGGGCCACGGGGAUGCUGUGUGGGGCCUGGCCUUCAGUCCCACCUCCCAGCGCCUGGCCUCCUGCUCCGCCGAUGGCACCGUCCGCAUCUGGGACCCCAGCAGCAGCAGCCCGGCCUGCCUCUGCACCUUCCCCACAGCCAGCGAGCACGGGGUCCCCACCUCAGUGGCCUUCACCAGCACCGAGCCUGCCCACGUGGUGGCCUCCUUCCGCUCUGGCGACACCGUCUUGUAUGACAUGGAGGCUGGUAGCGCCCUCCUCACGCUGGAGUCCCGGGGCAGCAGCGGUCCAACCCAGAUCAACCAAGUGGUGAGUCAUCCAAACCAGCCUCUCACCAUCACCGCCCACGACGACAGGGGCAUCCGCUUCCUGGACAAUCGGACAGGUGAGGCCUAGCCUCUUGUGCUCGUGGUGGGUGGGGAGGGCCACAGGCAGGCAGCAGAGAUGCUUGCGUCCCUGUGGGAGGCUCUGGGAGUGUCUCCUCCAGUCCUUUCACUCUCUCGGGCGAGGCCCAGAGUGGGAGGGGAACCUGCCACCCGCCCCUCUCGCCUCAGGUAAGCCGGUGCACUCCAUGGUUGCACACCUGGACGCAGUCACCUGCCUAGCUGUGGACCCCAACGGCGCAUUCCUGAUGUCAGGAAGCCAUGACUGCUCCCUGCGUCUCUGGAGCCUGGACAACAAAACGUGCGUGCAGGAGAUCACGGCCCACCGCAAGAAACACGAGGAGGCCAUCCACGCUGUCGCCUGCCACCCCAGCAAGGCCCUCAUUGCCAGUGCUGGCGCCGACGCCCUGGCCAAGGUCUUCGUAUGAUACCCACCUGGCCCUGCCCUGGCCGUCACGCUGGCUGGGGUGCGGGGCCGGGCAGGUGGGGCUGAGGGGACUCCCAGCCUCACUGGAGGUGCAGAGGCCUGGCCUCUGUCUGCUGUGGAGCCUGGUGGUGCUAACGGCCCUUUCCCCAGGAAUCCCUCCCGGACGGCUGCCUUCCCCAAGCAUCCAGCCUGGGGAUGGGCCCCUUUCAGGAAUCACCCCCGAGGAUGGCCUCGGGGUUUCCCCCUGUGCCCUGACAGCCGCUCCUGGUAUCAGAGCUGCCUUCCAGAGGGCAGCACAGCCAGGGCCGGGUGUCUUUAGGGAUCAGUUUUUCCAAGACUCCAGAAGGUGCCAGGUUCUCCCCUUGAGCUCCUGCUCCCCCAUCCCCCAUCCUCCCAGAUCUGGGCGGGAGCUGUGCUGGGAGAAAGGGUGGCAGCUGGGAGCCUCAGAGCUGAGCCCCGGCCUGGCUGUCCCUCCCCUCCGGCCCUCUCCACUGCUUUCCAGACACUAACCAAGGCCUCCAGGCCAGGGAUUGCCCAAGACUCCUAGGGCAGCCUUCCCAGCGCCCCAUGGCGUCGCCCAUGGGUAGAGACGGCUUUCUUGUGCCCCUCCCUGGGGCAUGGAGGGUGGAGUGGGCCUCGGGUCCCCCUGAACUCCCUGUAUAUCUGUAUAAAUAACGGGAUUUUCAUGGCGCCGCCCCACCCAUGUUAUCACUGUGUGAUGGUCUCAGUCAGUCUCCUCCCUGUCUCCACUCUUUCCCUCUAUUUAUUUCACUCUCUUGUUUGGUUCUACCCUGCACCCUCGGUCCCCUUCCAGGUUCCUGUUUAUAAGCCCCAACCCCUCUGCCCCCAUCUUGUAUGUGAAAACUUGUCUCAAUAAACCCUUUGGAGU